rnacentral:rRNA from 1 species
CUGAGACACGGCCCAGACUCCUACGGGAGGCAGCAGUGGGGAAUAUUGCACAAUGGAGGAAACUCUGAUGCAGCGAUGCCGCGUGAGGGAAGAAGGUUUUAGGAUUGUAAACCUCUGUCUUCAGGGACGAAAAAAGACGGUACCUGAGGAGGAAGCUCCGGCUAACUACGUGCCAGCAGCCGCGGUAAUACGUAGGGAGCGAGCGUUGUCCGGAAUUACUGGGUGUAAAGGGAGCGUAGGCGGGAUCGCAAGUCAGAUGUGAAAACUAUGGGCUUAACCCAUAAACUGCAUUUGAAACUGUGGUUCUUGAGUGAAGUAGAGGUAAGCGGAAUUCCUAGUGUAGCGGUGAAAUGCGUGGAUAUUAGGAGGAACAUCAGUGGCGAAGGCGGCUUACUGGGCUUUAACUGACGCUGAGGCUCGAAAGCGUGGGGAGCAAACAGGAUUAGAUGCCCUGGUAGUCCACGCCGUAAACGAUGAUUACUAGGUGGGGGGGGACUGACCCCUUCCGUGCCGCAGCAAACGCAAUAAGUAAUCCACCCGGGGAGUACGAACGGAC